rnacentral:rRNA from 2 species
GGACUACUCGGGUAUCUAAUCCUGUUUGCUCCCCACGCUCUCGCGCCUCAGCGUCAGUGUCAGUCCAGGUAGCCGCCUUCGCCACUGGUGUUCCUUCCGAUAUCUACGCAUUUCACCGCUACACCGGAAAUUCCACUACCCUCUACCGCACUCCAGCUAUCCAGUUUCGGAUGCAGUUCCUAGGUUAAGCCCAGGGAUUUCACAUCCAACUUAAAUAACCGCCUACGCGCCCUUUACGCCCAGUAAUUCCGAUUAACGCUCGCACCCUCUGUAUUACCGCGGCUGCUGGCAC